rnacentral:misc_RNA from 1 species
UACCCUUGACAUGUGCGGAACCCUGCAGAAAUGCAGGGGUGCCCGAAAGGGAACCGCAACACAGGUGCUGCAUGGCUGUCGUCAGCUCGUGUCGUGAGAUGUUGGGUUAAGUCCCGCAACGAGCGCAACCCUUGCCAUUAGUUGCUACAUUCAGUUGAGCACUCUAAUGGGACUGCCGGUGACAAACCGGAGGAAGGUGGGGAUGACGUAGACCUUGGACC